CUGUUGGUGGUAUAGUGGUGCGCAUAGCUUCCUUCCGAGCACUUGAUCUGGGUUUGAUUCCUGGCCAACACA